UUUUGAUCUCUUGAGAGGGUAUAUGUACUCAAGGAAUAUCUAAAAAGACCUUGGAACUGGAGUUUCUGACAGCUGUGAGCUGCCAUGAGGGUGCUGAGAAUUGAACCCAGGAACUCUGAAACAGAAGCAGAUUCAUUUGCAGCUUCUACCAUGGAAAGAUCAGAAUUGUGACACCCUCCUACCUACAGGAGUUCUGGAAGCCUGGAGUUUCUGUCACUUGCUAACCACACAAGGAUGACAACAGAGGCAGCACUCAGCUCCCACACUGUACAGUCUGUUUCACCCACUGGACACCUGAGGUCCAAGGCUAUAAGUCUGGAAAAACUACCUUGUCCUAUCGCUAUGUAGCUGAUGGAAAUGGAAACUCAGUUGUGUAAAGAUACUUGUGUCUCUGAGCCUCAUGCUUUCUGAUUCCUAACGUGGAUGCAGGAGGAAAGACGUGGUGACCUAAAAGACACUAAGUUCUUAGGCAUUAAGUGGUCACCACAAUAUGAUGCAGGCUCCGAAGAAGUUAUGUACACAGGAACUGGUGGUAGCCUCCAAAGACACAAGGCCCAAAGGCAGAAGACAGGAGGAGAGAGACCACAAGCCAGUGAUAUGCUGAUGACCAAGUCAUCACUGUGUGUUUCUCGUCCAAGACAAUAUGGAGCAAACACAACAAUCCUUGUCCAGGAGAACAAAGACAAUGAUGAUGAAAUCAAGGCUCAAAGAAAGGCUAAGAUACUUGCCUAAGAUCUGCUCUCUUUGAGCAGUCAAGGCCACACUACCCACAGUGUGCCAGGUCAUUGUCCAAACACCUGGUGGUUUCAGUUAUAAAAUGCAUGUAAGGCACACCUCUAGCAAGAGGAAUAACCCACCAAUAAUGUUUGCUUUUUGUCCCAGAGGAAUUAACCCCAAGGCUAAAUAUUCCUCUCCCAGAGUAGACUGACGGUAACAACUUUACCUCUCCUUUAUUCCAUCAUGGGAGAUAAACUGGGUCAGAGUUGUCCUGAGCAGUACUGGAACAUGAACAACCAGGGAGGAGAAAGAGGAGGAGGAGGAGGAAGAGGAAGAAAAGGAGGACGAGAAGUUGAUCUGCUCUGAAACUCCCUUAGAAAUUUCCAGAGUUCCCUGCCCUUGUGAAAUACUAUUUCAAUACUCCAUUGUCCUGAAACAUAGAGAAAAUACUUAUCAAGAGAACAAAAGUAAAAAGCUGGACCUGCAAUGGUGUGCUUCGCCCU